CAACAAAACAGGUUUGGCAAAGGACUAUUUAUCAAACACAGUCACACAACGAUUAUGAAACCACAUGAUAAGAUAGCACACAAAGAAAACAUUGGCUAUUUAACUACUCAGGAGGAAAAACUAGGUGUUCCUAGUUUUUCCUAGGUGGAAGGGGGAAGCAGGCUAAAAAGCAGUUUUUAGGGUUUCAGAUAUGUAAUUGUGGCAGCAGGCACAGCAUCAGGGUAAAUCUUCCUUUUGACUUCCUCAGAACACCAGUUGAGAUUUAUAGAUCUUGCUUGGACUGCCCUUAAGUACGCUGCUCCAGAGAACUCUGCUCUACAUUGUCAGAAACCAGCUUUCAAGAUAUACUCAGAGAAGAAUCACGAGUGCCAAGAGAGACCAUGAGGCAAACUGCUCUCCAUUGAAGGUAUACCAGCCUACCCUUCGUGAGCUAAACACAACCUCACUCUUGCCAGCAUUGUAACUGACUUUUUAAAUCUAGUAAUCUGCACUUCUUUGAUGCCAUGAAGUCAGUAUUAUUUUCAUGUCUUGGCCAUCUUAAGUUCCUGUUUUGUGAAUAUUCUAUUCCUAUUCCUUGUUAUAAAGGUUUUCAGAGUUAAGACAUGUUAAAUAGAAAUUAUUUUGGAAGGUUCUGUGAUUCAAAAUAUCAAAGAGUAUUGCUGACUAGUUGUUUCAGUGGGACCCUACAGACAGGCAGAACCCUGGGGGAAAUCACCGGAAACUAGGGAUGAGGGCUCAGCUGUAAACACCUGCAACCACAGAACUGAGCAGACCUUCCCAGCAGACCCAUGAAUAGCCUGAAAUUGAGAUUUAUCCCAUACUGCAGGGGUGACACUUAUCCAAUGGCUAGAAUAUUUAUCACUGCUACUCAGAGCACUCUCACUUCAUGAUAUCAGCAUGCCUGGGGAAACAAGUCAAUAAAUUCAAUGUUUGUGUAGCGAGGCCAGAAUCACAGAAGAAACAUGAAAGCUCUUAAGGGAUCUCAGACCUUUGGAUUCAUCUCACAAAUUAUUUCUAUUCUAUAAGGCAUACCUGGUUAGUGAUAAGAAUAACCCACUAGUCAGAAAUUCCACAUGAACAGUGUUGAACAAACACUAUUAAACUCUUAUUUUCUAAAUCCUCUGUUAAUCAGCUAUCAAAAGCAAAUUACCUCAUGCCAGGUACUUUGCAAUAAAAACCAAGCACUUAAGGCCUCUGAUUACUUGGGUUGGAAUUAAAAGUAUUUCAUUCACCUACUUAGGAGUCACUUCUUAGAUUGGACCACUCUCUCCAAAUGGCUCAUGUCAUCUAUCAGGGUCAAUGUUCAAUCCUUUCAAUGUCUUAAGAGUACCCUUUUUGCCUGGCUAAUCCCCAAACUCCAGUGACACCCUAUUUGGAGGCUUUCGUCCCUUUAUGUACCAACUACAGAAGAAAACUAGAGUGGGAGGAAUAAAAGACACUCUCCCAGAUGAGUGUCAUAAUAAAUACCAAAGCUAUUUUUAAUGGGUGUUAACACAAUGUUUGAGAAUUAGUAAAGUAAGCAAGGGCUGCUUUAAAAAGUUGAUCUGGACAUGCACAGGUGGCCCUCCAUAUCCAUGGGUUCUGCAUCCAUGGAAUCAACCAACCAAGUGCAUCACUUGAGGUCAGGAGUUCGAGACCAGUCAGGACAACAUGGUGAAAUCCUGUCUCUACUAAAAAUACAAAAAUUAGCCAGGCUUGGUGGCACAUACCUGUAAUCCCAGCUACUCUGGAGGCUGAGGCAGGAGAAUCACUUGAACCUGGGAAGUGGAGGUUGCAGUGAGCCGAGAUUACAUCACUGCACUCCAGCCUGGGCGACAGAGUGGGAAUCUGUCUCAAAAAAAAAAAAAAAAUUGAGGAAAAAAAUGAAUGGUUGGAUGGUUGUGUACUGAACAUGUACAGACUUUUUUCCUUGUCAUUAUUCCCCAAACAGUGUACUAUAACAACUAUCUACUUAGUAUUUACAUUGAAUUGGGGUAUUUUAAGUCAUAUAGAGAUGAGUUCAAAUAUACAGGAGGAUGUGCAUAGAUUAUAUCCAAAUACUAUACCAUUGGAUAUCAGAAACCUGAGCAUCCUUAGAUUUUGGUAUCUGCAGGGGUCCUGGAACCCACUACCUGGAACCAAUCCCCUGCACGAUACUGAGGGACUACUGAUUUAUAUUGAGGUGGGUGGGGGGUGGGGAGAGAAGAAGGAUGAAUGAUUAAAUAAAAUCUUCAACCCUAAUUUUUUUUUAUCAAUCUUACAUGCUAUCCAAAAUCAUGGUUAAUUUUUUACCAGAACGUCAAUUUUGCUAGUAGCAAAAUAUAGCUAUUAGCUAUAACAUAGCUAAUAUAGAAAAUUACUCCUAGUAUGGAAGCCUACUUGGGACACUAAGUUUCAUGCAGAAGGCUCCAUGAGUUUACAGAAUCUCAAGGAAGAAAGGCCCCUAGAGAUGACACCAGAAAUGAGAGUGGCUUGCUCAUGAAAAUUGGACAGCAUGUUCCAAGCAGAGGGAACAGCAUGGAGAAGAAAAAUCAUACUCUAUCCACGUGCAGAAACUGGCAAUUAGUUUUGUAUUACUAAAACACAAAUGUUUAACUUGGGGGUCCACAAACAAGGAUAUGUUGGCAAAUGGUAUUUGCUGUGCAUGAUGACAACUUGAACUUUCAUCAGGUUUUUUAUGGGUCUAUGAAAUGGGUCAAGGGGACUUAGCUAAGAAUGACUGUGGGUAAAAUGCAUGACAAGGAGGGAUACAGACAGGAGAUGAAUCUCUCAGGGUCCAAGAGACCAGGGUAAGAUGUGCAGAUUCCUUCCUGUGUAUGAUGGAAAUGUUUUACAGGGUCUGAAGGGGGAAGUUUAGAAGGACAGCCUGCUGAAAUGGGGACAGCUUGAAAUGCAGAGCAAGGCAGAAUGCAGACAACACUCCAAGGCAUCUAAGGAGCCAAACAGAGGCAGUGGGAAUAGAACAGAGUGAAUCAGAGACAGGUUAGGAGAGAAAAUGAGCAGCUUCCAUGUUCAUAUUUGCUUGCAUAUGCAUAAAAUGUCACUAGAAGAUUCUCAGUUAACUAACACUGGUUACCUGUGGAUUAGUGAAAUGGGUGACAGGGGAAUGAGGAUGAGAGGGAGUACUUUCACUCUAGAGCCAUGCGUACCUUUUGAACCAUGAGGAUACUACCUAUUCUAAAAAUAAAUUUAAAAAAAGACAUGAAGGUUAUCAGAAUGAGAUGCCUCUAUGUAAAAACCUGCCUAGGUCCCCCUCCAAACCCCCUCUUAUGUUUUAAGUUGCACUUUUGAAUUCAGAUCAUUUUUAUGCCAAAGGCUACCAGACUGUACCAAUGACUGACCCUUGAGAAAGGCCAAUCUUUCUGCUUACUGUGGUGAUAAAUAUAUCAAGCCUAACUUAUCAUGUCGAUGUAAAUAAUGAGUUACCUGGGUAAAUUCAACCAACUUAACAAUUAGGUGUCAAAACAUCAGUAUGAAGAAUUAACUCCAGGAGCUCAAUCUUUUAAAUUUCAUGGUAAAUAAAAGAGGCUCAGAGAAGACUCUGAUUUAUUAAAACAAGGAUAAAUCACAUGAAUCACUGACGCGAAGGUCAGAUUGUCGAUUCACUCUGGUGAGUGUUAUGCUAAGUUAGGCUAGCCCUUCAGCUAAAAAUGACUUUAUUCUAUUGAAACUCCUGUUCAACCUAUAUAGCGUUUAAGGCAGGUACUCCAAAUAUAAUUGACUUAAAUUGAAUGGCUUUAUUAAUUUCAAAUUAGUAAUGAGUGAAUAUAAAUGUAAGAGUUUAAAAAAAAGUUUUGUAAAACUAUGUAACAUUGUUUUCCAUUUGGCUAAGUUCAAAUGUACUAAAUUUGCAAUUCUUGUUCAAAACAUUUAAUGUAACCCAUUAAACUUGUUCAUCAAAAACAUACUGUGUCCAGAG
rnacentral:lncRNA from 1 species